rnacentral:rRNA from 1 species
UACGUAGGGUGCAAGCGUUGUCCGGAAUUAUUGGGCGUAAAGAGCUCGUAGGCGGUGUGUCGCGUCGGCCGUGAAAACCUGCAGCUUAACUGUGGGCUUGCGGUCGAUACGGGCAUCACUGGAGUUCGGCAGGGGAGACUGGAAUUCCUGGUGUAGCGGUGAAAUGCGCAGAUAUCAGGAGGAACACCGGUGGCGAAGGCGGGGUCUCUGGGCCGAUACUGACGCUGAGGAGCGAAAAGCGGUGGGGAGCGAACAGG